CCUUUAAACAUGCCGCACCUAACGUUACACGUCAUUUAAUCUAUACCGUCAACCCAAGUAAUCUUAGCCGUCCAUUCAUAAAAAAAACCAUUAUAAAACAUAGGACUGAGACCUUAUAUCAUAUCGCUCAGCAGUUUCGAGGGUUUCACCUUUCUCUAAACCUUCUCCGCCUCUUCUUAAAUUUCAGAUCUCUUGUGAAACUUCUCCAACCCUACGUUCAAUCGAUACCAAAAUUUCACACAUCUGAUGGCGAUUUACACUCUGAUGGUUCAAUCGAUAUCAGUUCUUCACAGAUCUGAUGGAGAUCUACGAAUCGAUGGUUCAAUCGAUACCAGUUCUCCAAAGAUCUGAUGGAGAUAUAUACAUAUGAUUCAAUCGAUGGAAGAUAUUCUCUGAUGCAGAUUUACACACAUAUCGUUCAAUAGAUACCGGAUCUUCAAAUCUCUGAUGGAGAUCUACACAUAUGGUUCAAUCAAUGCCAGAUUUUCAAAUCCCUGAUGGAGAUCUAGACACAUGGUUCAAUCGAUACAAAAUUUUCAAAUCUCUGAUGGAUAUCUACACUCCGGUUCUGAGGCAUGUGGUGCAGAGGUCGAUCUUAAUGUUCGUUUUUGGUUUCUGGAAUAAUUCAUAGAGAAGUCACAUAUUUAUUCUUAAAUCAACGCUCCCGAAGAUAUUUUGCAGAUGUCGUGGUUGAUCGAUGAGCAGGUUUGCAGAUCCAGCGUUGAAUUAUAUCGGUUUCCGUUGUAGGCUCUUUCAUGAUUUGAACUUCAAGAUCUUUGUCUUCCAGAUUCAUAGAUGUUGCUUAUCUCAAAGUUUGUAAUUAUAUUAUGAUCGGAAGCUUUAUGGUGGGGUGUGGGAGUUUAAUGGAUGUAGGAUGUAUCAGGAUUAUAUGCCUCAUGCCUUGAGUGUGUUGGGAAUUAUAUCCUGAGUUAUCUUGUCAUCCGACCUUUGCCAUGUCAGGUGAGCUUGCUUGGCAGGUCAUAAAAUAAUAAAAAAAAGAUUUGUUGGUUUUUGGGAGGGAUCGCACGGGUUUUUUUUUGCCCGGGAUCUCUCCAUUGUGUGGUGUUUGCCUUGCUCCUUUCCUUAUUACUUUUUACUCUAUCGUAUCUCGCUCUAGACAAAUCGACUAUACGCGGUACGCUUGCAUCGAGGAAUUUCUCCAACGAGGUAUUAUCUAUCAGUCCAAUUUUAAUUUCGAAUUUAAGUUAAAAUCAUGACUAUUCUUCGAUGAAAUCAUGAAACCGUAAUUUAAUAAAAUCAUCGAUGAAAUUAAAUUGCUAACUAAAAUUGACUAUUCUUCCUCAACUAUCCACAAUCCCUUUAUCAACCUAGAUAAUUUUAUCUUAAUAUUUGGUUGUUACCCAAAAAUUGUAUAUUUCUACGUGUCUUUUGACUUGUUGUAACUAAGGUGAAUAAAUCCCCUAUGCCUUGUUGUAUAGUAUAAUUCAGUUACUUCGGACAACACUUGUUGUAAAGUGAUAGGUCCAUUGUUAAGAAUUUUGAGGAUCUGCUAUCAUAUUGGAUUCUCUAUACGUGCAGUUUAGUCAGCACCAAUAAAACGGCUAUUGUGAUCAUGAAGCCACAACUAUCAGUUAAUUCUUUGAAGCACGCACGUCCGUUUAUCCUUCCUUUUCAACCAAUAAGGUGAAGAUGACAUCGGCUCUUUCAUCUUAUGCUAAGUAUUUCAAUUACAGUAGUUUUUCAGUUGUCGUAAUCAUUCAGUAAUGCAUUUAUAAUCCCUUAUUCCUUUAAUAUGUAGUUAUAUUUUUGACAGUGCUAUAGUUUUGACAAUGUUAUAGUUCUUCUGUUAGUUAGAAUUACAUCAGCAUGGGUGAUUCAGUUUGUUUAAAAAUUUUGUUUCUGUAUUACUCUAAUUUCAUAUUAAUAUUCUGGAGUGGAGGCAUGUUAUUUUUCAA